rnacentral:misc_RNA from 1 species
AUUUUUAUUAAGUGGUUUUUGACCAUUCUUAAUAAACAUCACAUUGAAAUAGAAAACAAACAAACUAGUACAUAUAUAGUGUUCAUGACCAGACACUAUAUUCUUGGUCUUGUGGAAUUAACUCACAGUACAUACAUGUUCCCACUUUAUUCUAGUAAUACAAAUUUAUAUAUUUUAAACACACAACCACAUGGAUAUAUAUUACCUUAUUAUUAUCAUAGCCUUCAAGCUAGAACGUACACACAAGACAUAAUUUAGUUGCAUUGACUCUGGCAUCCCUGUCCACAGUAAUCAGGAGUAGUGCCACAAUAGCCAUAUUGACUACAACAUAACCCAUUGGCACACAAAGCUCCACCAGCUUGACUUCCACAUUGUUGUGCAUUUGCUACACUUAGCAACAAUGCUAAAAUAGUUACAACAAGCACAAAAAAUUUCAUCAUUUUCAUUUUUCUUAUUUUUA